GAAUUGACGGGGGCCCGCACAAGCAGUGGAGUAUGUGGUUUAAUUCGAAGCAACGCGAAGAACCUUACCAGAUCUUGACAUCCAACUAAUCCUGUAGAAAUACGGGAGUGCCCUUCGGGGAAAGUUGAGACAGGUGGUGCAUGGUUGUCGUCAGCUCGUGUCGUGAGAUGUUGGGUUAAGUCCCGCAACGAGCGCAACCCUUGUGAUUAGUUGCUACGCAAGAGCACUCUAAUCAGACUGCCGUUGACAAAACGGAGGAAGGUGGGGACGACGUCAAAUCAUCAUGCCCCUUAUGAUCUGGGCUACACACGUACUACAAUGGCCAUCAACAAAGGGAAGCAAAGCCGCGAGGCGGAGCAAAUCCCCAAAAAUGGUCCCAGUUCGGAUCGCAGGCUGCAACCCGCCUGCGUGAAGCCGGAAUUGCUAGUAAUCGCGGAUCAUCAUGCCGCGGUGAAUACGUUCCCGGGCCUUGUACACACCG
rnacentral:rRNA from 1 species